rnacentral:rRNA from 1 species
AGAGUUUGAUCAUGGCUCAGGACGAACGCUGGCGGCGUGCUUUACACAUGCAAGUCGAACGCUGAAGCGGUCUUCGGACUGUGGAUGAGUGGCGAACGGGUGAGUAACACGUGGGUAACCUGCCUUGUACUCUGGGAUAAGCCUUGGAAACGGGGUCUAAUACUGGAUAUGACCUGUCCUCGCAUGGGGGUGGGUGGAAAGUUCUGGCGGUGCGAGAUGGACCCGCGGCCUAUCAGCUUGUUGGUGGGGUGAUGGCCUACCAAGGCGACGACGGGUAGCCGGCCUGAGAGGGCGACCGGUCACACUGGGACUGAGACACGGCCCAGACUCCUACGGGAGGCAGCAGUGGGGAAUAUUGCACAAUGGGCGAAAGCCUGAUGCAGCGACGCCGCGUGAGGGAUGACGGCCUUCGGGUUGUAAACCUCUUUCGCCAGGGACGAAGCGAGAGUGACGGUACCUGGAGAAGAAGCACCGGCUAACUACGUGCCAGCAGCCGCGGUAAUACGUAGGGUGCGAGCGUUGUCCGGAAUUAUUGGGCGUAAAGAGCUCGUAGGCGGUUUGUCGCGUCUAUCGUGAAAUCUGGAGGCUUAACUUUCAGCGUGCGGUGGAUACGGGCAGACUUGAGUUCGGUAGGGGAGACUGGAAUUCCUGGUGUAGCGGUGAAAUGCGCAGAUAUCAGGAGGAACACCGGUGGCGAAGGCGGGUCUCUGGGCCGAUACUGACGCUGAGGAGCGAAAGCGUGGGGAGCGAACAGGAUUAGAUACCCUGGUAGUCCACGCUGUAAACGUUGGGCGCUAGGUGUGGGGAGCUUUUUUGUUUUCCGUGCCGUAGCUAACGCAUUAAGCGCCCCGCCUGGGGAGUACGGCCGCAAGGCUAAAACUCAAAGGAAUUGACGGGGCCCGCACAAGCGGCGGAGCAUGUGGAUUAAUUCGAUGCACGCGAAGAACCUUACCUGGGUUUGACAUGCCACAGGAC